rnacentral:rRNA from 1 species
UACAGAGGUCUCAAGCGUUGUUCGGAUUCAUUGGGCGUAAAGGGUGCGUAGGCGGCGCGGUAAGUCGGGUGUGAAAUCUUGGAGCUUAACUCCGAAACUGCAUUCGAUACUGCCGUGCUUGAGGACUGGAGAGGAGACUGGAAUUUACGGUGUAGCGGUGAAAUGCGUAGAUAUCGUAAGGAAGACCAGUGGCGAAGGCGGGUCUCUGGACAGUUCCUGACGCUGAGGCACGACAGCGUGGGGAGCAAACAGG